GAUGAACGCUGGCGGCGUGCUUAACACAUGCAAGUCGAACGAAGCAUUUACGACAGAUUUCUUCGGAUUGAAGUUGUUUAUGACUGAGUGGCGGACGGGUGAGUAACGCGUGGGUAACCUGCCUUGUACUGGGGGAUAGCAGCUGGAAACGGCUGGUAAUACCGCAUAAGCGCACAAUGUUGCAUGACAUGGUGUGAAAAACUCCGGUGGUAUAAGAUGGACCCGCGUCUGAUUAGCUAGUUGGUGAGAUAACAGCCCACCAAGGCGACGAUCAGUAGCCGACCUGAGAGGGUGACCGGCCACAUUGGGACUGAGACACGGCCCAGACUCCUACGGGAGGCAGCAGUGGGGAAUAUUGCACAAUGGAGGAAACUCUGAUGCAGCGACGCCGCGUGAGUGAAGAAGUAAUUCGUUAUGUAAAGCUCUAUCAGCAGGGAAGAUAGUGACGGUACCUGACUAAGAAGCUCCGGCUAAAUACGUGCCAGCCGCCGCCGUAA
rnacentral:rRNA from 1 species